GAGUAUCAUGGGGGUCUUGUACAGAGUUUAGUGAGUAUCAUGGGAGGGGGGGUUAUGUGUAAAGUGGGAUUGGUGUAGGUCUUGUACAGAGUUUAGUGAGAA